CCGGGCCUUGAAGCAUAGGGUUUGACGAAACCUUCUAAUUUCUGUUUCUGCUUUCUCCUGCAUGAAUGAAGAAAAAAGGUUGAUGCAAUAGCUUGUGAAGAUAACUUGCUCACCAUCAAGAAAAAACUUUCGCUCUUUCUUCUGUCCUAAAGCUGAAAGGAGCAGAUAAAUUUGGAGACUGUAAUUUGUUUUUGCAGGCAGUCAAGGACUUGGAACUUCUGGCAUACAUAGACAAUUGUCAAGCAAAUUUUUAGAGGCUCUUCAAGUUGAAUGGCACAAAUACAGCUUCGACUCAUGGGAUUUGGAAUUUUGAGCAUUUAACAUGGAGUUUUCAUUUUCUUUUGAUUGUUUUCAGGACAAUCGGAGAAAGAAUAUGUUGACUUCUCUUCACCCACAAAAUAUAGCACAGGAAACUACUGGUAGAUAUACCAGCUUCUGUAGGCGAACUCCUCGUGAUUGGAGUGACAUCAUUAUUUUCCUUCCCUGGAUGAAUCAAAAGCGUAGAUUUGGCAGGUGAAGCAGGAACUUUAGGUGCUCUAUGACGAGUUGAUGGUUUUGAAGAUGAAAAUGCCGGUUUCUUCUUUCU